rnacentral:tRNA from 2 species
UGCGAGGGUUGCCCAGCCAGGUCAAAGGCGCAAGGUUGAGGGCCUUGUCACGUAGGUGUUCAUGGGUUCGAAUCCCAUCCCUCGCAUC